AAUCAGCCAGUGGCUGGAUUAUUUGAGCUAUUUUGGCGUCUCUGCCAUCCUAUAGUUGUUCAGUUUUCUCUUUUGAAAUGAGGCUAUCUAGAGGAUUUCAUGUUGUGGUUUAGGAAGGCAUCAGUGAAGAUUGGGAGGUAGAGAGGGAUUGCUCAAGUGGAAACAGAUCAAGAACCAGAAGGAGCUCAAGAUUUCGCUACUUCCUUGGUAAUAGCUUUGUGAGCCAAAAUGGAAAAGGUCAAGAUUCCAACAAAGGUGCUUCUAGACGCUAUGUUGCAGCAACUUGGCCUCCCAAGCGCAUUAUACUCAACAAAGAAGGGAAAGCCAGCUGGUCUUUGAUGCAACAAUUCACUUCUAUGGGUGUAAGCACCAUCUGAACAAUAUACUUCCAAGAAAUUCAAUAUCCAUCCAUGUGUAUGGCAAAGUUGAAGAAGCACAAGAUCAGCUAGCAGCUGAAGCUCUCAAGUGCAUGGAAGGCUCUUACAACAAAGUUUUGCAAGGCAUAAACUAUAACAAACUACAACUAGCUCAGGAAAAAUGCAAGUCUCUUAAGCAUAAGCAAAAAGAAUAAGGAAUAAUAGACUAUUUUAGCAACAGCUGGAGUAGCAGCCUCAGUGGAGAUCACAUGGCAGCAAAGGAACUUUAUGGCAUAAUAAAUGCCAACUUCACAGCCGGGUCAACAUCAAAAGACAACAAUCUAAAUCAUAUUUUGUCACACAUAAGAUAUGUUGCUGACCAUCUUAGUGAUACAACUACACAAUCAGAGUAUGAUCUCCAUCAAAUAAACAAGUACUAUUGGAGCCUAGCCGGCGACAUCGAAGGUAUUUCGGCUUUGGGCAAUACCAACCACCAAUCACAACCACUAUAAAGAGUUGCCGAGGCAAGAGGGUUAUUCUCAAUGCCAGUGAAGCACGUCAUGAUGGAUCUAUCUAAUGUUCUUCACUUCGUACCGCCUAUAUAAUGUGUCUUAUGACUAUCAUUGUAGAUAAUCAUUCAUAAGAUUCUUAGAACACUUUAUAUUAUUACUAGGCCACUAUCUGCCAGCAAUAGCUACUCAUUUCAUACACUACAAUAGGUAUCUACAUACUUUAAUGAUCACUCACUCUAUCAGUACUUGGUUUGCUCUCGCCCUUUGCGCCAUCGUUGCAACGGGUCAUCUAGCAUGAACAAAGGGUAAGCAUAUGCUUUUGCCUUCAAAUGCACUUCCAAGGGAGUGCGCUUGAUCAUCUACCCAAUAUAAGCAAGUUGCAAGAGCCCUUGUUAUAUAACUCCGUAUUAGUAUAGAUGUCUAUCAAGACUUCUAUGUUUAUCGUCCUUUUGGAUCUUAUGUAAACCCCUAAGACCAUCAUGUGCAUUUAGCUAUCGGUUAUUUGCUGCUUAAACUAUUGUGUGGUGUGCUUUUGAAACAACCAUGAUAAAAGAAAUAUAUGCUUUCGCCUUCAAGUGCACAUCCAAAGGCCUCUGCAUAAUUGUGUAUCGAAUCUAAACAGAUCACAAGAGCCCUUUCCUACAUGACUUAGUGCAUCAUUUCCAAUCUUAUGUACUUACUGCAUAUAGUAUAUGAGCUAUUCUUUUUAAACAACAAUAUAUUAAUGCAUGCUCUCACAAUAAUUAUCUUACACUCGGCCUUUGCGCCAUUGGCGCAACGGGUCAUCUAUUACACUCAACAGUAGAUGGAACAAAGUGCUCGACACUGAAGAAAAGCACGAUGGCAGUUGCCACACAAAGAGCUAUCCAAAGCGCAAGUUGUUGCCUGAAUUCGAUGACGAGGCUUUAGAGCCUACACAGCCAAAAAAUAAAACGGCAGAUCAGCCGGAUGGACCACCCCGUGUCUGCGAUAGGGCGACUAACGAUGUCGAACAUAAGUCGGCGCACGAUUUACGUGAGGACUUGCACCAAAAAGCCGGUCUGACCAGAUCCAUCUACGGAUCUCGGAAGCGCGCUCUGGCACAGAAUCAAAACAGUACACUACAACCAUCAGAACGCCAUGGCACAUCCAAACACAAGGGUACCGCACACCCCCUAUGCUUCACCGAUGAGGUGCUGGAUCACGAAUUCCCCGAAGGAUUCAAAGCCGUGAACAUAGAGGCAUAUGACGGAACGACA